GGGCCCCUGCUCCCAGCCCCGCACAGACUGCAUUGGUUUAUGGAGUUCUUCAAAGAUCAAAUGUGGGGAAAGGUUGAGGGACAGUGGCUGUUUGUUGUGGAUUUACUGCGAGGGCAAAUCUCCUCCUUGUGUACAGAGGUUCUCAACUCAGGCAUGGGCUGGUGAACCCCGAGACACCAGUUUAGAGGCAAUCACUGGCUGGUAAAGGGAAGCAGAAGAGAUCCCUUAACAGAGAAGUGAGAGUUUUGUACACAUAUUUCUCAGUCACGUGUUCUCUGUGCACUUUUCCGUUAUGCUUUAUGGAGGGGUGAGAGCAGCCAGAAAUCAGCAGUCAGCCAGCAUCAUCCACUGCAUUUCAUCCUCAGGUGUGUAGAAAUGUGGAUGUAAGCGACGUAACAUUGCCACACAGUUAAAUAUUUACUCUCUUUAAUAUCUGAGGUUAAAUGCAUUGCAAAGGGAUAUGAUACUUGCUCUUCUUUAACACAAUCUGCCCUUCUUAAAGCAGAACUGCUCUGUGCAGUGCCAUCACCUAGCUGCAGUUCUGGGCUCAGCAGUACCACCAUGGUUCUUGCCAUUGCUCAGGGUGCCAACUCCUCUUGCACCUUGCACCCCACAGCAGUGCACAGCAGGCUGCAGGCUGGGCCUUCCUGGGGAGCAGUGCACAGCAGGCUGCAGGCUGCGCCUUCCCUGGGAGCAGUGUGCAGCACACUGCUGCCUUUGCUGCAAACUAUCGGCACAGAGCCGGUGGUUCUCUUCUGCUGGUGCAUGGCAGACUUCUGUCCAGCUGCUUUUUACGAAGCCGAUCUAAAAGGCUUUCUGAAAGAAAACUGAACUCACACAGACAAAGACUGAUUCUUCAUCCGCCUGACAUGUCACGCCAACAAAUGGGUUUUUGUGCACUCUGUCAGUGUCUUAAUCAGAGUGUCACGCCAGCCCGCAGCACCUCCGCAGCUCGGAAACCUUUCCCAACACUUAAUCCUUCAACUUGUAUACGUUGUACAGACAUUCAGAUGAGGGCCGAUAAUACGGGAGAUUUACAUGUUUCUGUCAUCGCCGAGAUUUGUCACACAUCAUAACGGGCGGCCUCCCCACACCGGGGCCGGGCAGCGCGGUGGGCUCAGCAAGGGGAAGGAGCAGCUUCGUCUGCUCUGCUGGGGGCAUUUGCUCCGUGUCGCCCGUCAUCGGUUGGGUCCCACCUGAUGGGUCUCAUCUAAUGGCUCCCACCUGACAGCCAGGAGGCUGAUAGGGGAGCAUGGAUUGUGCCCAGCUGUGUUCCUUGCCCAUGUGCCACCCGCCCUGGCCUGUGCUGCUGUGCCCAACCCUGCAGUUUCUUUAAAGAUAGAAGUAUAGGAUCGUAGAAUCACCAAGGUUGGAAGAGUCCUCCAAGAUCAUCCAGUCCAACUGUCUGCCUAUCA
rnacentral:lncRNA from 1 species